rnacentral:rRNA from 1 species
UACGUAGGUGGCGAGCGUUGUCCGGAAUUACUGGGUGUAAAGGGCGUGUAGGCGGGAUUGCAAGUCAGAUGUGAAAUUCUUGGGCUUAACUCAAGAGCUGCAUCUGAAACUGUGAUUCUUGAGUACUGGAGAGGAUAGUGGAAUUCCUAGUGUAGCGGUGAAAUGCGCAGAUAUCAGGAGGAACACCAGUGGCGAAGGCGCCGCUCUGGGCCGAGACUGACGCUGAGGAGCGAAAGCGUGGGUAGCAAACAGG